AUAUAUUCUUUGGGUUUUUGCAAACGACGUAGCAAAAGGGGUGCUGUUAAAUAGGAACCAGCUAUUUAGGUAAAGAGAUUCGUAUACAUAAAUUAGGGUUUUCGAGAAGCCGUCGUCUCCGAAGAAGAGGAGCAGCAGCACAGUCACUUCUCCUUCUGCAACCCUAAUCCCACCUCGCCACCAUGGGUCGUAUGCACAGUCGCGGCAAGGGUAUUUCCUCUUCUGCUUUGCCUUACAAGAGGACCCCUCCUAGCUGGCUCAAGAUCUCUUCUCAAGAUGUGGAAGAGAAUAUAUGCAAGUUCGCGAAGAAGGGUUUGACCCCAUCCCAGAUUGGUGUCAUUCUUCGAGACUCUCACGGUAUUGCUCAGGUCAAGAGCGUCACCGGAAGCAAAAUCCUCCGCAUUCUCAAAGCUCACGGACUUGCCCCUGAGAUUCCCGAGGAUCUCUACCAUUUGAUCAAGAAGGCAGUGUCGAUUAGGAAGCAUCUUGAGAGGAACAGAAAGGACAAGGACUCCAAGUUCAGGUUGAUUCUUGUUGAGAGCAGAAUCCACAGACUUGCUCGUUACUACAAGAAGACCAAGAAGCUCCCACCUGUGUGGAAGUAGUAAGUGCCUUUGAACACUAUCAAUUGUUUGAUUUCCCUAAUUGCUUAAUUCGUGAUUACUCUUUGAGGAUAGUAUUCAUCAAUUGGCUUAGUGUGCUAGAACAUUGUAUCUAGUAGAUGGCAUUUUAGCUAGAAUUGUGAUAUAGGUUAACUAUAUGCUAUUUAUUGGAUAGCAACUGGUUUCUCUGUCAACGCACUAUGAUAUCUUUUCUAUGCACACAUAGCCAGCCAUUCUUAUAUGUGAAGCUUGGUAAUAUUUUUCUAUAAUUUUUGACAUGCGCACACUUCUUGCUAGUCCAAUAGUGGGAAGUGGACAACUAGACAUGCAUUCUUGUAAAUGGUGCUUUGUACUUCCUCCAUUUUGACUUGUAUCUUGAUAUGAUACAAUUUCGGUGUAUUGGAUACAAGUUUUUAUCCUGUUACAUUGAUUUAUGAAUGUUUUGAACACGCCAAACGAAUUGAUGAGGAAUGUAGGGAGUAAUAUGCCGGUAUGGUAGAUAGUUAGAUACAGGUAUUAUAUUAUGCUUGGUCAUGAUUACAUAUCUGUUUGUGUUCUCUUCUUGUUAUGCAUCCUUGUAAAGAGUAUUAUUAUGCUCACUAGUCCUUGUAAAUUUGUGUUUUUAAUUGCCUAUCU